UUUGAUCACCAUGGCCCGUUGUUUUUUGUGUUCGGCACAGUGAAAUUACGUGGUUUUACCCCUUAUUCUCUUCAUGUGUUUUAGGCUUUAGUGGGUUUGUAUGAUGAAUUGGCCACUUUGCCCCUCUCUCAUUUUUGUUCCCGUGCGUGCGUUUUGUGUGGGAAGAUGCUUCCAGCAUCUUUCAUUUUUCACUUUCCUCUUUCUUUGUUCCCUGUAACAUGGUCCCAUAGUAUGCUUUAGUGGUAUUGAAUAUAAUUGGACAAACUGCUAUGAAUCUAUUAUUUCCAAUUUAAACGCUUCUGAUAACUUAGAAGUUCAUUUGUUAGUUCAAAUUUAUGCAACAAAUGUAUAAACCAAGAUCUAUAAUUUUUGUAUUUAUCUAUUUUCACAAAGUACUACAUCACCAGUUCAGAAUGUUUAUUUUAAGUUUCUAUUUCUUUUUUUUUUGCUUACAUUAAUUUUCGAUUCGUUUUUUUCAAUUUUUGUCCCAUGUUGUUUUCAGUGAUGUUGUAGCUUUGAAAACACAAAUUUCUGGUUUUUAUUUAAUGACAAAACAGUUUUUGUUUGGUUAAAAUACGAGGAACAAUAGAGUUGUUCAUCAUCCGUUUCAUUAUGAACUUUGGAUCAACAUUCAAAAUCUAAUGUAAAAAACUGGUAUCUGCUUCUUUACAAUUCUCUAUUUAUAUGUUAUUGCAAUCGCGAUCUCAUUUUUAAAGUUCUUUGAACUUUGACCACAUUUAGUUAUGCUGAAAUUCUUCUUGCCACUCAUAACCAUUACAUUAUGCCUCUUCACUAGAUAAAUUUUUAUGUCUUGCUGAAAAGCACUUGCACCCUUCCAACAGAUAAAAACUGUGCACGUAAGCAAAACUUUUUACAUCGACUCUUGCUUGAUUAGUGAUCCUGGUAUAGCUGAUUGAUGUGAAUAUCAAUUGUACAGUUUGUGUUGCUCAGUUUAUGCUUAAUAAAAUGUCAUCUACAUGACCCCUUCAUAUAUAUUAGAAUUCUUAGUAAGAUUUGUGCCAACUAUUUUUGUUAUGUGGAAGUUGAAACCUUUUUUUACGGUUCUAAAUAGAGUCCCAUGUAUAUGUAAAUAGUGUAUAUACAUAUUAUAACUUUCUAUGUAUUUUAUACAGUUUUAAAACCCGCAGCAUCGCGCGGGCACUUUUGCUAGUUAUAUAUACUAAAACUCAGUUGAAGUUACUGUUCAUUAACAGUGAUUUAACGGAUUUGCCCUUCAAUUGUUACCUGUUUUCAGCCUUUUUCCUACACAGCACAGUAAAUUUACUAAUUUGCCUCUUCUGUCCGCGUGUCAGCCAUCCUAGAAGGGAAGUGAACAGGUGAGUGCUCUUCCUCUGUUUCUCUAGAGUUUUCUUUCUCAGAAAACUAAAACGCCUAUUGUCUGCUCUCUCUUCCUCUCUCUCUCUCUCUCUCUCUCUCUCACCCAGAUUUAGCUUUUUUCCCUGUUUUGUAUCUUUUGGCUGAUUUUGUGCAGCAAGAGUUGUUGCUCGAAUUUCCAAUUUUUCUCUGCGGCUUUGCAAGCUCCUUAUCAUCAAGGUAUAUAAUUUUUUUCCUUUUCCCUUAAUCUUUUGUUGGAUGGAAUGGAUUUUUUUUUUUAGUUUUUAGUUUUUUUUUCGGAGGGACUAUUUUUUGUUUGCAUAUGAGUUUUUUGUGGUUUUUGUUUGGAUAUUUAAGUUUUGGCCAUUUGCAAAUAGUUUUUCUCAAUAAAUAAUGAAAAAUGGGUCUCUGCUUUUUGUGAAAAAGGGAAAUGGUGUGUUGUGAGUGAUUGAAUAAUAUUUACAUUGCAAUUAAUAAAGUUAGCUUUAAUUGUGGCCAUAAAUUUUUACUAAUUUUAAUUCUACUUUAUCAUUUUGGCCAAAUUGUUCUAUAAUUUUAACUUACUUUUAAUUUCUUGAUAUCCAGGUGGUUUACAUACUUUUUAACCAUAGAUCACAUAACUUACAUUUACAAUUAUAUUGUUUCAAUUGUUUAUAUAAUUUUUUCUUUGUUCCCUGUAACAUGGUCUCAUAGUAUGCUUUAGUGGUAUUGAAUAUAAUUGGACAAACUGCUAUGAAUCUAUUAUUUCCAAUUUAAACGCUUCUGAUAACUUAGAAGUUCAUUUGUUAGUUCAAAUUUAUGCAACAAAUGUAUAAACCAAGAUCUAUAAUUUUUGUAUUUAUCUAUUUUCACAAAGUACUACAUCACCAGUUCAUAAUGUUUAUUUUAAGUUUCUAUUUCUUUUUUUUUUGCUUACAUUAAUUUUCAAUUCGUUUUUUUCAAUUUUUGUCCCAUGUUGUUUUCAGUGAUGUUGUAGCUUUGAAAACACAAAUUUCUGGUUUUUAUUUAAUGACAAAACAGUUUUUGUUUGGUUAAAAUACGGGGAACAAUAGAGUUGUUCAUCACCCGUUUCACUAUGAACUUUGGAUCAACAUUCAAAAUCUAAUGUAAAAAACUGGUAUCUGCUUCUUUACAAUUCUCUAUUUAUAUGUUAUUGCAAUCGCGAUCUCAUUUUCAAAGUUCUUUGAACUUUGACCACAUUUAGUUAUGCUGAAAUUCUUCUUGCCACUCAUAACCAUUACAUUAUGCCUCUUCACUAGAUAAAUUUUUAUGUCUUGCUGAAAAGCACUUGCACCCUUCCAACAGAUGAAAACUGUGCACGUAAGCAAAACUUUUUACAUCGACUCUUGCUUGAUUAGUGAUUCUGGUAUAGCUGAUUGAUGUGAAUAUCAAUUGUACGGUUUGUGUUGCUCAGUUUAUGCUUAAUAAAAUGUCAUCUACAUGACCCCUUCAUAUA